rnacentral:rRNA from 1 species
ACGAAAAAUAAUUUUUCGUGGCGUACGGGUGAGUAAUACACAGGAAUCUGCCUUUUAGUUCAGGAUAAAAUUCUGAAUAACAAAAGAAAACUUUUCGCUAAAAGAUGAGCCUGUGUAGGAUUAGGUAGUUGGUAUUUGGGUAAAGGCCUACCAAGCCUAUGAUCCUUAGCUGUUCUGAGAGGUUGUACAGCCACACUGGGACUGAGACAAGGCCCAGGCUUCAUUUGGAGCCAGCAGUGAGGAAUUUUGGACAAUGAGCGAAAGCUUGAUCCAGCAAUACUACACGAGUGAUGAAGGCUUUCAAGUUGUAAAACUCUUUGGUUGAGGAGGAUAAUGACAGUACUCAACAAAAUAGCCCCGGCUAACUUCGUGCCAGCAGCCGCGGUAAUACGAAGGGGGCGAGCGUUAUCCGGAGUGACUGGGCGUAAAGGGUCCGUAGGCAGCAUUUUUUGUUAGAGGUUAAAUAAAAAAGCUUAACUUUUUUCCGCUUCUAAAACGUAAAUGCUUUGAGUUUGAUAGGAGAUAGCAGAAUUUCACAUGGAGGGGUGAUAUCCGUAGAUAUGUGAAGGAAUACCAGAGGCGAAGGCGGCUAUCUAGAUCAAUACUGACGUUGAGGGACGAAAGCAUGGGGAGCAAACAGGAUUAGAUACCCUGGUAGUCCAUGCCCUAAAAGAUGAGUGCUCGUGCUUAGAUAUUUUUAGGCACUUAGUUAACACGUUAAGCACUCCGCCUGGGGAGUACGACCGCAAGGUUGGAACUCAAAGGAAUUGACGGGGGCCUAUACAAGUGGUGGAGCAUGUGGUUUAAUGCGACAAUACGCGCGAAACCUUACCAGUUCUUGACAUAAAAAAGAAAAAGUUUGAAAGGACAAUUUUGAAGAUUCUUACAGGUGCUGCAUGGCUGUCGUCAGCUCGUGUCGUGAGAUGUUAG